CAAGCAAGAAGACCCGC
rnacentral:rRNA from 1 species